GUAGGUGGCGAGCGUUGUCCGGAAUUAUUGGGGCGUAAAGCGCGCGCAGGCGGUUCUUUAAGUCUGAUGUGAAAGCCCACGGGCUCAACCGUGGAGGGUCAUUGGAAACUGGAGAACUUGAGUACAGAAGAGGAAAGCGGAAUUCCACGUGUAGCGGUGAAAUGCGUAGAGAUGUGGAGGAACACCAGUGGCGAAGGCGGCUUUCUGGUCUGUAACUGACGCUGAGGCGCGAAAGCGUGGGGAGCAAACAGGAUUAGAUACCCUGGUAGUCCACGCCGUAAACGAUGAGUGCUAAGUGUUAGGGGUUUCCGCCCCUUAGUGCUGCAGCUAACGCAUUAAGCACUCCGCCUGGGGAGUACGGCCGCAAAGGCUG
rnacentral:rRNA from 1 species